rnacentral:lncRNA from 1 species
AGAUGGAUUAACCUAAAGGGGAAUCCAAUCAAGGCUGGGAGAGCCAGGAGAGCACUUCCUUCUGCGCUGAUGUUUUUACCAGGACAGCCAAUCUCCCCAUCUGGAUCAGAAUUGGAAUUCCAAAUAUCAGAACAAGCUGAAUUACCCUUUCCCUCUGUAGCUGCAUCUCUUUGGGGGGUAGUUAUGUAUGUUGCUGUAAUUUCUAGCUGGCAGCGUGGAGUGACUCUCUUUGUUGUACUGAUAUUUGUGGUCAUCCCAGCAUCCUUCUGGACUUGUGACUGUGAAUGUGAGUCUGAUAACAGAGUAAAUAGCCACAGCCAGGAAACGGCAUUUUAGGUGUGGCUGUGCUGACUCAAACUGAGAGCUUCUCCUGCUUAACGGCCUGAGGGAAUCAAGAUCCAGAUCUCCUCUGUGUGAGACCCUCCUGAGAGCAGGUUGGGGCCCGGUGGGGCCUCUGCUGGACUCGGGGCUGGAGCUGGGGCUGGGCCACAGGGAAGAGAAGAUGUCAAAGCCAAGGCUUGUGCCGUUGGAAGCACAGAGGACGCAGCCUCUACAGGAACUGCCCGGCAUGGGCGUGCUGCAUGGUGACAAGCAGCGUUUCUUUGAUGCAGAUAGAAAUUGCCCAGAUACACUUGAUGUAUGGAACUCCACUAAGCUUUCUGAGGACUCUCCAGGAGGCGCUGGGAUCUCCUGCCGGGGCUCCCUGAGGCCCUUCCACCACCUCAUCAACGCUUUGGGCGGCUGCAGAGUAAGUGAUGCUCACAAACCAAGCCGUCAAAUUGCAACAGAUUGCACUACUGAAUUCUGGGAACGUCAGCCUGGGCCAUCAAAGAGGUUCGUUCGAGGGCACCCCCCGUGAGACGUGGGCAGAGCACAGGGUGGAAUCUGGGGUCCGACUCCCACCCGAAACGGCGGCCUGAGGCCCACCUGCUUCCUGGGGGACUGGUGCCCGUGCGCCUGGCUGGGCUCCGACACCGAUUAGAAUGUGCGGAUUCAAGCUCCCUCUGCGUAACUCAGGCAGACGGGGGUUGCUUUGUAGGAACCUGCCUGUUUUAAAGUUUUCUUUUAACCCAGUGACUUUGAAAUUUCUCAGUAUUUUUUGUGUGAGUGAAAAGAGAGUCAGACAGAGGAGAGCUGACGUUCCCUAGGGCAAAUCGUGUUUUCCGGCUCUUCUUUAUACCAAAGUCCUUCCUGCAUUUUAUCUUAUAUCUCCUCCUACAAGCUAAAGAUUUGAGCAGCUCCUCUUUUCUCACCAAAUUUAAGGAUGGACGUUGCAAGGACACCCACCGCCCGCUGGAUCUUAGAUGCUUUGUGCCAUGUAUAGAAGUAAAUGCAGGUGUUUUCAUUAACCCCGAACCUUGUUGUUUGACACUGGCAAUUUUAUUAAAGCUCCUGGAUCCCCAAAUUCUC